rnacentral:lncRNA from 1 species
UUUAAAACAGUGAUUCAUAUAGAAAAAUGGAUCACAUUAAUAUAUCAAAAAAAUUACAAAGAUACAAAUGUAUCACAAUCGUGUUUAAUGUAUCAAAUAAACAUAUAAAAAAAAUUAACAACGAAGUAGAUUUUGAAUUCAAUUUUGAUCAAUUUAUCGAAAAAAACUUCACGCUCAUAUCAUUAUGAAUCUCCAUUGCUGUUGAAUUUU